rnacentral:rRNA from 1 species
UGCAGCCUGCAACUCGGCUGCAUGAAGCCGGAAUCGCUAGUAAUCGCGGAUCAGAAUGCCGCGGUGAAUACGUUCCCGGGCCUUGUACACACCGCCCGUCACACCAUGGGAGUUUGUAACGCCCAAAGUCGGUGGCCUAACCUUUAUGGAGGGAGCCGCCUAAGGCGGGACAGAUGACUGGGGUGAAGUCGUAACAAGGUACC